rnacentral:rRNA from 1 species
ACUCCUACGGGAGGCAGCAGUGGGGAAUAUUGGACAAUGGGGGAAACCCUGAUCCAGCAAUGCCGCGUGGGUGAAGAAGGCCCGCGGGUUGUAAAGCCCUUUCAGUAGCGAGGAAAAGCUGAUGGUUAAUACCCAUCAGUCUUGACGUUAACUACAGAAGAAGCACCGGCUAGCUCUGUGCCAGCAGCCGCGGUAAU